UACAGAGGGUGCAAGCGUUAAUCGGAAUUACUGGGCGUAAAGCGUGCGUAGGUGGACUGUUUAGUCAGAGGUGAAAGCCCAGGGCUCAACCUUGGAAUUGCCUUUGAUACUGGCAGUCUUGAGUACGGAAGAGGUAUGUGGAACUCCGAGUGUAGAGGUGAAAUUCGUAGAUAUUCGGAAGAACACCAGUGGCGAGGGCGGCUCACUGGCCCGGUACUGACGCUGAGGUGCGAAAGCGUGGGGAGCAAACAGG
rnacentral:rRNA from 1 species